AUACCCCACCCUUUGCUCAUCCCCACCACUGGAAGUUGUACUCGAAUUUGAAAACCUCAUUGUGUUUUGCUUUGAGUACUUAAAAGGAUAUUUUCCAACUUGAGUAUCAAACAUCAGAAAAAUUAAUUAUUUUCGGAGAAAAUAUUUUCCAUAGAGAACAUUUUCUGUCAUACCAAACACACCCAAAAUCUCACUCUCUUCUUCAGCCAAAACUUAAAGACAAACCAAAAAACAAAAGGUAAAAACUUAGUUUUGUUAUUACUUUGUUCCCGCCAUUAAAAAUGUUGAAUUCAACUUUUGUAUAAGUUGAACCGGUUCAUCUGCCCCCUCUUCCCGGUUUAAAUGCUCAUUCCGGGUCGUCACAUUUGGUGGGCUCGGGUCGAAAUUCGGGUCUGGAUUCGGUUUUGUUACUGGAAGGGUACAAUGCUACUAUGAACAAGAGCUGCAGAUCAGGACGUUUUUUGUAUACUUCAAAGCACGAUCCUCGUGAUCUUUGCAUGCACGGAACUUUCGUGAGGAGUGCCACUUUCCUUUUCGUCCGUUACAACUCUGCCAAAGCAUCAGCAUUUCUUCCAGAUGCAUGCACACUUCAUUUUCGCUGUUCUAUAAAUAUCAUUCAGGUGCUGGAUCCAAGCAAGAACUCUUUUCUUAUCAGUAUGUCUCCUUCCCUCUGUCCCUGAACAUCCAUAGUCUAACCUUCUCUCUUUACCAGAGACUCGCCCCAAAAAAUCUGUGUCAUCAUCAGAUUUUUUUUUUGUUUUUUUUAACAUCUGCUAUCAGCUUUCCUUUACUUGGUAUAUCUCUGCUACCAGAGCUUGUGAAAAUUCUGAGGAAAUUGAGUGCAUUGAUUGUCCAGAGAGUUUCCUAAUAUGUUUUUGCCGAUAAAGAUUUAUCUGAUGCAUACAAGAUUGGCAGCUUAAUUGUGUGUAAAGGUUCCUACACAAUAUUUGUUUUGCUCAGUUUGCGUAAGUCAAUAAGUUAUCAUUGACAGGAUCAUCUUCAAAAUGUUUCUAUGUGAAGUCAUAUUACUAUCAUUUUAUUGAAAGAGGUGAAUCAAGGUCCAUUUGAAUGUUACUAUAGAAAUAGACCACACACAAGAUUUUCUUUAAUGAUGCGUGUCUUAACAACUCACCGUUUAAAAAGAAGACAAUGCAUUGUAGUUAAUUAGUGUUACAUGUUCCAAAGUCAGGGAUCGAGAGGAUGUGGAUCAUUUUCUACUGCAUAAAAAAAUUUCUUCAGAAUUCUUGUCCGUGUGAAGAUUCGCCAAAGUUAAAGACUGAAAUGAAGGAGAUCAGAUUGAAAUAAUUUUCUGUGUGUUUAUUCCCUUUGUAUGCACAGCUAUAUAUAACAAUCUAGCUGAGAAUAAAAGAAUAUUUCUUGUACACAUGUCUAUUUUGUAUUGGCUAAAGAUCUAACAAACUAACUAAUUGUCUUGUGCUGAUCACAUGCCAUCAUCUUCCUUCAUUUCCAUCGAAAGGCUGAUAUUAGUGCCAGCACAUGUUGAUCGAACAGCUGGUAGUGUGCCAGAUGGUUUGUUUGGACGAAACAUUUGAACACCGGGUGCCAAAAUCCCUUUUGAAUUAGCUUUCCCUUUUGUUGAAUGUAUAGCCUUCUUCCUUUCUUCCUUUUCUGUUUUCUCACGAUCAUGGAGGAACUAUGAAGAAUCAUCAUUGUUGUCAACACCGUGAUGUUCUCCAUUUUCAACAAUUAAUAGGUAUCCUUGAACAGUAAUUCCAACUAGUGAAGAUAUGGUAUAUGCAACCGGUAUUGUGUUAUUCUGCAGAUCAGGACGCAUGAUCCUCGUGAUCUUUGCAUGCACCAAACUUUGGUGAGGAGUGCCACUUGCCUUUUCAUGCGUUACAACUCUGCCACUUGCAUCAGCAUUUCUUCCAGAUACAUGCACACUUCACUUUCACUGUUGUAUAAAUAUCGUUCGUUGAGGUGCUGGAUCCAAGCAACACUUAUUACUCCAACCAGUAUAUUUCCUUCAGUUAUAUGAUUGCCUUCCGUCUGUCCCUGAACAUCCAUAGUCUAACCUUUCUCUUCUUCACCAGAGACUCGCUGCAAAGGAUCAGUGGCUUCUCUGGUAACAGUACUUGUGAGGAAAUUGAGUGCAUUGAUUGUCCAGAAAGUUAUGCAGAAAUAAAGGGGUUUCUGGAGACGAAAGAAGUUCUUCAAGGGUCGAAAAGAUAUUUUGCAGAACAGCAGAAAUAGAAGGUUUUCAAUAUUGUCUUAUUUAAUAACCUUGAGCUUGAUGCCUUGGAUUUAUCAGAAACUUGGUGCGUGCAAGGUUGGUGCAUUCAAUGAAUUUUACUACAAAAGCAAAUGGAGAAUCCUAAGCUGAUUUCAUUAUGGAUUUCUGGACCUCUCUCUUAUUUUGUUUCUUGCGGUUACAAAAGUAGAUACGGUAAAUCUACCAAGAUUAUAUAGAAGUAGUGAAGUGAUAAUUUCGUGAUGUUUUGACAACCAGAUGGCUGCAGUUUUGAUUGCAAAUGUGGCAACUGCAUGCUUCACCCUUUUUUCUGAUUGGUUUGUAUUCAAGCAUCUGCACAUGCAUAUCAUCCCGUUGGAUCAACUCUAUAUAAACGUGUAAUGGGAAGAGUGUGCAUCUAAGUUGCUCGGACUCUUCACUUUCCGUGCUGCACCUAUGUCGACACGACAUGGGUGUGAGUGUGGGUGUGGGAUCCAUACCGGAUAUGGUCAACCGAUUUUGGGUACUUUGACCAAAAUAGACGCAGAAAUUUGAGACAAAUACAAUGAUUUCUGUCAUCAAAACAAAAUCUAAGAUAAGUGUUACCUUUUCCGAAAAAGGAAAAAAAAAAAAACUAAGGUGAAAUUAAAGAAAAUGGAAUAUCCUGUAUAUAAAAAUUGCUAUGUCAAUCUUUUUCCUUAUAUCUUCUUCUAGGAUUCUCCUCUUGAUCAAUAUUUUCUCCUCGGAAUACCUUGUAAGUUUUCCUCAUAAUAUCUUAGACAUGUAACUGUAUUUUUAGAUAUUUGAUUUGUUUUAGCCAAAUCCCCGUACCCAUAUCCGUCCCUCGAUCCAUACCCCCAAAUCUUAAAAUUUAGAUCAUUAAGGAUCUGACAUCUAGAUCCGCGCCCGUAUCAGACACCCGUGCCCGAGUCCGAGCAACUUAGUGCCGUCCCUUAUAUCAACAUGUUUAGCUAGUAAAGUGAACACUAUAGGUGCUUUGCCUUCACGUUGGUUAUCAUUUUCAUUGGAAAAACAUUGCGUGGUAAAAUCAGAGUCUUGGGGACUAUACUGUUGGCUUUAGUUUUUUAUUGUUUCUUGGAUGCAUUGGUCAUUUUCCAGGAGAUUAGAAUUUGGCUUUAUUCUGCAGAUCAGGACAUCUUUUUGUAUUACUUCAAAGCACGAUCCUCAUGUUCUUUGCACGGAAAUUCCAUGAGGAGUGCCACUUGUGUUUUCAUCUGUUACAACUCUGCCACUUGCAUCAGCAUUUCCAUAAAUAUCGUUGAGGUGCUGGAUAUUCUGGAUCCAAGCGACACUUAUUAUUCCUUCAGUAACAAACCGUUUCCAGUGAUUCCACUGCCUUCCCUCUUCCCUGAACAUCUGUAGUCUAACCUAUCUCUUUUUCACCAGAGACUCGCUCCAAAGAAUCAGGGGCUUCGUCAGAUGAAAUAAUUCCAAAUAGUGAAGAUAUGGUACAUGCAACUGAGUCUAAAGUGAACUAUGUUUUUGUUCCAAGGAUGUCUGUUAUGAAGUUGAUCAAAUUUAACUGGAUCUUGCACAGCGGGAUGUGGGGAACUUUCAGCAAGUUGCACAGCGGCUUCAGAGCAUGUCAGACGGCGAAGCAUUCAGAGGCAGCGGAUUCGAGGUGUGCAAUGAUGGCACGAAGCACUAAAAAAUAUCAUCUGAUGAAAGUGCUGGUACUUUGGAGCGAGUUUCUGGUGAAGAAGAUAAACGUGAGACUAUCGAUUUAUAUGUUAGAGAGGAGGUGGUGGCAUCAACAACUGGAGAUGGAUAGUUAAUCGGCAGAACUGGGGCUGUAGUUUGCAGCCACCGUUCAGAAAUGUGUAUUAGAUCUGGUCUGGUCGAUCCAUCACGUGACAUUCACUUUUUGGAAUGUGAAAAAGUGAAGAGUCGGACCAGAAUUUGAUGCACGAUUAGUGUUCCUACCAGAUAACCAGAAUUUGGUGCACGGGAAUUUUUCCUACUGUUCUUAAUAGUGUGAAUUCUCGAGUUCUUAAUUUUUGAAGUUAUGGUUUCAUAUAGAGAUGUCAAGAACCCAUGCAAUAAACCUUCCAAAACAAUAUCGAGAUUCUACUGAUUCAGAAUUGAGUAUUGCUACAGGGGUGUUAUGGCACGAGUACUACAAAAUAUCAUCUGAUGAAGGUACUUUGGAGCGAGUUUCUGGUGAAGAAGAUAAAUGUGAGAAUAUCGAUACCCAAGGUCAGAGAGGAGCAAUGGCAUCAACUGGAAAUGGGUGGUUACCGGAGGAACUGUGGCUAUCUAUUUGUAAGGGUCAUGCUAAACUUCUAUGUAUAGUUCUGAUUUUAGCGGAUGUGAAGGGACAGGAAUAGAACCUAACUAAUUUAAUUGAUCAUUUUGACAAGCAAUAAAGAGAUCGAAUUGUUUACUGCUCUUGACGGGAAAAUUUCCAUGUAUAAGCUGUAUCUUAUGUUGCUGUUAACAUUUUAAUGUGAAAAUUGACAUUGUUGGAAUUGCUGAUCAAAGUUGUUGGAACUACAUUCUUGUAAUAAGUGAUAUAGUACAUGGGAUGUGAAAUUAGACGUCUCAGGUUCGAGCAUUCCUGGGUAUGAAGUCGCCUUUGUUAGGAAGUGCUUUUACCCGCAAUGUGGGACUUUCCAGUGUGAACUUGGAUUUUUCGGGGCCCAAUGCAGGUACCAAAUAUCAAGUGGAAAACAAAAAAAAAAAAAAAAAAAAGAUGAUAGUACAUGGGAAGUGAACUCUUACUCAUAUCUUACUAUUUCUUCAGAAUUGUACCACAAUGGAAUUGUCCAAUUAUAGCAUUCAAUGGUUUUGAAUGACAGAUAACAGCUGUACAACUACAAAAUGGGGGCCAAUCUCUAGUGAAUUGGCUUGAUGUGAGCAUAUUUCAGAUGAUCUUACCAAGUUCAUAAAUGUGGAAUAACAGUUCAUUCUUUACUUUCUUUAUGACAAUGACACCACAAUGGAAUUGUCCAAUUAUAGCAUUCAAUGGUUUUGAAUGACAGAUAACAGCUGUACAACUAC